GCCAGUGUGGUGUAGCGGUUUGAACGUUGGACUACGACUCCUGGAGGCCAGGGUUCGAAUCCCAGCUCGGCCA